rnacentral:rRNA from 1 species
GCCUGGCCCUAAAUCUUGAUACUUACCCUACCAAAGUAUCCGCCAGAGAACUACGAGCACAAACGCUUAAAACUCUAAGGACUUGGCGGUGCCCUAAACCCACCUAGAGGAGCCUGUUCUGUAAUCGAUGAUCCACGAUCAACCCAACCGCCCCUUGCCAAGCACAGCCUACAUACCGCCGUCGCCAGCCCACCUCGAAUGAGAGCACAACAGUGGACGCAACAGCACCCCGCUAAUAAGACAGGUCAAGGUAUAGCCCAUGGGGCGGAAGAAAUGGGCUACAUUCCCUAUACAUAGGGCAGUACGGAAAGAAGUAUGAAACUACUUCUAGAAGGAGGAUUUAGCAGUAAAGCGGGACAAUAGAGCCUACUUUAAACCGGCCCUAGGGCACGU